GACGAACGCUGGCGGCGUGCUUAACACAUGCAAGUCGAACGGAAAGGCCCUUCGGGGUACUCGAGUGGCGAACGGGUGAGUAACACGUGGGUGAUCUGCCCUGCACUUUGGGAUAAGCCUGGGAAACUGGGUCUAAUACCGAAUAGGACCACGCGCUUCAUGGUGUGUGGUGGAAAGCUUUUGCGGUGUGGGAUGGGCCCGCGGCCUAUCAGCUUGUUGGUGGGGUAAUGGCCUACCAAGGCGACGACGGGUAGCCGGCCUGAGAGGGUGACCGGCCACACUGGUACUGAGAUCCGGCCCAGACUCCUACGGGAGGCAGCAGUGGGGAAUAUUGCACAAUGGGCGCAAGCCUGAUGCAGCGACGCCGCGUGAGGGAUGACUGCCUUCGGGUUGUAAACCUCUUUCACCAGGGACGAAGCGUAAGUGACGGUACCUGGAGAAGAAGCACCGGCCAACUACGUG
rnacentral:rRNA from 1 species